GCAAUAACGUAGAGCAGAAGUGUAAAGAUAUUCAUAUAAACAUGCCAGGUGGAUUUGACUCCGAUGCCGAGAAGCUUACCUUUUGAUGGCAAUGUUAAGCAAAUUUGGAAUUUGUUGGAGUUGAAUGCUCCUUUGUGUCGUCUAACGUCCAGAAGGAAAUUCAGACGCAUAAAAACGACUCUUCCUCUAACAUGGGAUUCCUGCAUAAGAAAAAGAGGAAACGUCUCCCACUUUAUUUUUCACGUCGAUCUUUUGAAUAGCCUAUGAGGACAGAAAAGGAAACAGAUUCCCAGCAGAGUGAGCAACAUCUGUCCCAGUAGCAGUAGAAUAGACAAAAAGAAUGCAAAAAAAAAAAAGAGAUGUUCUUAUUCUCUCUGAAAGAAUUGUUUUAUAAGGAUUUAAUCUUACCAGCAAAACUAAAAGAUAAAUACACCAAUGAGAUUUUUACGAUCGGGAAAUAACAUUCAAAGAAAUAAAAUUCUAAAGUGAGGUAA